rnacentral:rRNA from 1 species
UACAGAGGGUGCGAGCGUUAAUCGGAAUUACUGGGCGUAAAGCGUGCGUAGACGGCUAUCUAAGUCGGUUGUGAAAGCCCCGGGCUCAACCUGGGAAUUGCAUUCGAGACUGAAUAGCUAGGGUACGGUAGAGGGAAGUGGAAUUCCCGGUGUAGCGGUGAAAUGCGUAGAUAUCGGAAGGAACAUCAGUGGCGAAAGCGACUUCCUGGACCAGUACCGACGUUCAGGCACGAAAGCGUGGGGAGCAAACAGG